AAACGUAGGAGACAAGCGUUAUCCGGAGUUACUGGGCGUAAAGGGCGUGUAGGCGGCCUUCUAAGUGGGUUGUGAAAGCGACUGGCUCAACCGGUCGAGGCCGACCCAGACUGGGAAGCUAGAGGGCGGUAGAGGGGUGUGGAAUUCCGGGUGUAGUGGUGAAAUGCGUAGAGAUCCGGAGGAACACCAGAGGCGAAGGCGACACUCUAGGCCGCACCUGACGCUGAGACGCGAAAGCGUGGGUAGC
rnacentral:rRNA from 1 species